UGGGGGAUAUUGCACAAUGGGGGAAACCCUGAUGCAGCGACGCCGCGUGAGGGAUGACGGCCUUCGGGUUGUAAACCUCUUUCAGUUGGGAAGAAGCCCUUCGGGGUGACGGUACCUUCAGAAGAAGCACCGGCUAACUACGUGCCAGCAGCCGCGGUAAUACGUAGGGUGCGAGCGUUAUCCGGAAUUAUUGGGCGUAAAGAGCUCGUAGGCGGUUUGUCACGUCUGCUGUGAAAGCCCUGGGCUUAACCCUGGGUUUGCAGUGGGUACGGGCAGGCUGGAGUGCAGUAGGGGAGACUGGAAUUCCUGGUGUAGCGGUGAAAUGCGCAGAUAUCAGGAGGAACACCGAUGGCGAAGGCAGGUCUCUGGGCUGUUACUGACGCUGAGGAGCGAAAGCAUGGGGAGCGAACAGG
rnacentral:rRNA from 1 species